UUUUCUUCCAAGUUCAAACAUUCCUAUUAUUACAAAGUAAAAACUAUAUAUUUUAUCAAAAGAGAAGUCACCAAAGCAAUGAACAUGCAUCUUUUGAAUUGACAAUUGCUCCAACUAUAUAUAAUAUAUUGCAAAAUUUGAAGUAAAGUUUGGCUCUGAUUUUGUGCACCUCAAGUCAGCUGAGUUUUUUAGGUUGAACACCAGAAGUAUGGGUCUCCUCAAUACGUCUGGUAAGCAAUGAUAUUCCGUAAUGUGAAGCACUUGAAGCAGUGUAAUAUGAAGUCAUCGUAAGUUGAGUAAACCUUGGAAGUGUAUAUCCACCAAAUGUCGCGCUAGCUGCAGAGAACAUGAGUAGUGGAGGAAGCCCUAUAACAAAUGGAAGCCACUUUGGACCCUUCACAUGUCUCUGGACAAAAGGAAUUCCUGUAUUGAAACCAUGAAUUGCACUGAGCAGUCCACCAAUUCCAGAGCCAGCCACAGCCGUGAAAUCAUGUAGAACAGGAGUAAUCGCCCAUUCUCCAUUUUUUGAAUUGGAGUUCAAGAGACAAAGACAACGAGGACAUCUAGCAGAGCCGAGGCCAGGUUUGAUUGUAGGAUCAUGAUGGAGAUUCCCUCUCUUCAGCUUUUCUUCGUAUACCUCUCG
rnacentral:misc_RNA from 1 species